rnacentral:rRNA from 1 species
GACGAACGCUGGCGGCGUGCUUAACACAUGCAAGUCGAGCGGUAAGGCCCUUUCGGGGGUACACGAGCGGCGAACGGGUGAGUAACACGUGGGUGACCUGCCCUUAGCUCUGGGAUAAGCCUGGGAAACUGGGCCUAAUACCGGAUAUGACUCCAUGACGCAUGUUGUGGGGUGGAAAGCCUUGCGCGGCUAGGGAUGGGCCCGCGGCCUAUCAGCUUGUUGGUGGGGUGAUGGCCUACCAAGGCGACGACGGGUAGCCGGCCUGAGAGGGCGACCGGCCACACUGGGACUGAGACACGGCCCAGACUCCUACGGGAGGCAGCAGUGGGGAAUCUUGCGCAAUGGGCGAAAGCCUGACGCAGCGACGCCGCGUGAGGGAUGACGGCCU